GACGAACGCUGGCGGCGUGCUUAACACAUGCAAGUCGAACGGAAAGGCCUCUUUCGGGGGGUACUCGAGUGGCGAACGGGUGAGUAACACGUGAGUAACCUGCCCUUGACUUUGGGAUAACUUCAGGAAACUGGGGCUAAUACCGGAUAGGAGCUCCUGCUGCAUGGUGGGGGUUGGAAAGUUUCGGCGGUUGGGGAUGGACUCGCGGCUUAUCAGCUUGUUGGUGGGGUAGUGGCUUACCAAGGCUUUGACGGGUAGCCGGCCUGAGAGGGUGACCGGCCACAUUGGGACUGAGAUACGGCCCAGAUUCCUACGGGAGGCAGAAGUGGGGAAUAUUGCACAAUGGGUGGAAGCCUGAUGCAGCAACGCCGUGUGCGGGAUGACGGCCUUCGGGUUGUAAACCGCUUUCGCUCAUGACGAAGCUUUGUGUGACGGUAGUGGGUAAAGAAGCACCGGCUAACUACGUG
rnacentral:rRNA from 1 species